AUGGAGGAAAUUUUGCUGUUAGUUGAAAGCCGAGGGCGGCGAAGAUCAUUGAUGAUGGUGGCGAUGGUGGUGAUGAUUUCUACGACGCUAAUUAGACAACAUCGCUAAGCCAGAAGAUGUCGUCGUUAGAGUGGGAGAAAGGGGAACUGGAGAAAGAGAAUAGAGUUUGUUUCUAACUGAGCCAUGGAGCUUGAGACUGAGGUCAGUAGGCUUCAAUAGUAUUUGAUCUAGCUGAAUGAAUUUGGACCCUUCUAGUCAAGAUGUGCUAG
rnacentral:lncRNA from 1 species